rnacentral:rRNA from 1 species
AUGCCCGAAGCCAUCUCCCUCGAUCCCAUCUUCCCUCCCUCGAUACAUCUCCCUUCCCAACUUUCCUCAGCGCCGCCAGGGGCCUCAGCUCGACCCCUUUCCCCUUGUCUCAAUCUUCUCCUCCCUCUGUGCGCUGUCAAGAUGGUCGACAGAGAGGAACGCGCCCCCUGCACCUCUGCCAUGGCUUUUCUUCGCCACCCACCAUUGUCGGUGACCUCCAGGAGGGGCACCCCGCGCGCGACCUCGAGCCUCUCCUUCAUCCCUCUGCGCCGCCCCCCUUGCAGCGCCCAUCUCCUCGAGCUGCUUCAUCGCCAGCGCGCCCUCGUUGCUCGGUCGCCGGACCUCGUCGGCGCCGUCCAUACCCGCCACUGGCCUGUUGCCAGGCAUCUCCACCGGCGCCGUCCAUCCCCGCCGCCUGGGUAUGCCCCUGCCUCGACUCGGUUCUCACAGGCGAUGCCGUCCAGCGGCCGGAUCAACUCCUCCCUCUGUGCCCUGCAUCCCGGAGCCGGCCGCCUCAAGCCCUCGUCCGCGUUUGUGCCCUGCUUCGGACGAACAGCAGCAGCAACUCCAGCGCCGAUGACCUUCGAUCCCGCGAGCUCCCGAGGCAUCAACCUCCCUUCCGCGAGAUCCGGUGACGCCGGCCGCCGAGAACCGCUGCUCUGCCAUCGUCUCCUUGCUGCUGCCCACCGAGGUCCUUGUGUUGCUUCGUUUCGGACCAUCAAGGCCGGCAAGAUCGACUACAUGGACGCCAAGUACCACAACACCGAAGACCCGUACUUCACCAACAACCAGUACUCGAUGACCCUUCAGACGCGCCAAGUUCGUCUACACAAAAACGCCAAGUACCCCUCAUGUUGGCAAGACCCACAAGUCGGACCCCAAACGAUCGACGUCUCGUGGACCGUGUACAACUACCGUUGCCCCGAGGACGUUGGAUUCGUUAAGUACCUCUCCGAAAACGAAACGUAUACCGCUACCGCCGCAAAAAUCGAGACCGACAAGUCUGAAGAUGCAAGUACCACUCCAGACCAUGUACGAUGA